rnacentral:rRNA from 1 species
AACGAACGCUGGCGGCAGGCUUAACACAUGCAAGUCGAGCGCCCCGCAAGGGGAGCGGCAGACGGGUGAGUAACGCGUGGGAACGUACCUGUUGGUUCGGAACAACUCCGGGAAACUGGAGCUAAUACCGGAUAAGCCCUAACGGGGAAAGAUUUAUCGCCGAAAGAUCGGCCCGCGUCUGAUUAGCUAGUUGGUGAGGUAACGGCUCACCAAGGCGACGAUCCGUAGCUGGUCUGAGAGGAGGAUCAGCCACACUGGGACUGAGACACGGCCCAGACUCCUACGGGAGGCAGCAGUGGGGAAUAUUGGACAAUGGGCGCAAGCCUGAUCCAGCCAUGCCGCGUGAGUGAUGAAGGCCUUAGGGUUGUAAAGCUCUUUUGUCCGGGAAGAUAAUGACUGUACCGGAAGAAUAAGCCCCGGCUAACUUCGUG